rnacentral:rRNA from 1 species
ACGGAGUUAGCCGGUGCUUAUUCAUAUGGUACCGUCAUUAUCUUCCCAUAUAAAAGGAGUUUACACACCGAAAUGCGUCAUCCUCCACGCGGCGUUGCUGCAUCAGAGUUUCCUCCAUUGUGCAAUAUUCCCA